rnacentral:rRNA from 1 species
CAUUGAUAAUGAGAGCAAUCAAGUGCCUUAAGGGUGUUCGGUGGAUGCCUUGGCGCUGAGAGGCGAUGAAGGACGUGCUACGCUGCGAUAAGCCGUGGGGAGCUGCGAAGAAGCUUUGAUCCAUGGAUUUCCGAAUGGGGAAACCCACCUUCGAUAGCCGGAACUCCAAGACCUCAGUCGAAAGACUGUGGUGUGGGGUUCGAACAGAAAUGUGAGAUGCCUAGGCCUUUAGAUUUCGAUCGAAGAGGUUUUGGAUUUCCGGUUAUCAAAAGAAGGUAUGAGACUUCUGAAUACAUAGGAGGUUUCAAGCAAACCCAGGGAACUGAAACAUCUAAGUACCUGGAGGAAAGGACAUCAACAGAG